UACGAAGGGGGCUAGCGUUGCUCGGAAUCACUGGGCGUAAAGGGUGCGUAGGCGGGUCUUUUAAGUCAGGGGUGAAAUCCUGGAGCUCAACUCCAGAACUGCCUUUGAUACUGAGGAUCUUGAGUCCGGGAGAGGUGAGUGGAACUGCGAGUGUAGAGGUGAAAUUCGUAGAUAUCGGGAGGAACACCGGUGGCGAAGGCGGCGACCUGGGACAAUACUGACGCUGAGGUGCGAAAGCGUGGGGAGCAAACAGG
rnacentral:rRNA from 1 species